rnacentral:rRNA from 1 species
AACGAACGCUGGCGGCAUGCCUAACACAUGCAAGUCGAACGAGACCUCCGGGUCUAGUGGCGCACGGGUGCGUAACGCGGGGGAACCUGCCCUUAGGUUCGCAAUAACUCCCCGAAAGGGGUGCUAAUACCGGAUAAUGUCUUCGGACCAAAGAUUUAUCGCAUUUGGAUGGGCCCGCGUUGGAUUAGCUAGUUGGUAGGGUAAAAGCCUACCAAGGCGACGAUCCAUAGCUGGUCUGAGAGGAUGAUCAGCCACACUGGGACUGAGACACGGCCCAGACUCCUACGGGAAGCAGCAGUGGGGAAUAUUGGACAAUGGGCGGAAGCCUGAUCCAGCAAUGCCGCGUGAGUGAUGAAGGCCUUAGGGUUGUAAAGCUCUUUUACCCGGGAUGAUAAUGACAGUACCGGGAGAAUAAGCUCCGGCUAACUCCGUG